rnacentral:lncRNA from 1 species
AUGAGAGCUGCUGGCACUGCAUGGAUUCCAAAGCACAGGUGGGAGAGCCCUGAGCCCAUUUUGGGGUGCCUGAGCAGGGUCAGGUCUCCCCCGGGUCCCCAAAAGGUCAGAGCACUGCGAUGCUCCAGUUUUUUGUUGGAGGAAUUUGGUUUGUUCAAGGAAUUUGAGCCUGUGAAGGUUUGGGAGGAGGUUCCAAAGAGGGGAAGCAGAGGAGGGGACUGCUCUGCUGAGCCCUCCAAUCCCGCUAGCACUGCCUUUCCCUCCUCCCUCAACAGCUUCUAUCACGACAGCACUCAGCCCCCGGUGAUUUAUUCCAGUCUUGGCACCGAGUCCAAAGUGCUGGAACCCAUCCCCGAAAUUCUGGUAAGCGCUGUGCAUCCCCUUCCCGAGGUGUUCCCAGCAGUGGGAGGGCUGGAGGAGCUCCUGACACUCCACACUCUGCUCCCUGCCUGUCCUACUCCUUCUCUCACCAGGGUGGCAGAACAAUCCUACCUGAAAGGUAAAAUCCUGCUCGACUCUCCAGGAAUGAGCCACUGGAGUGGGACAAGCCAAGGACUCACAUGGGGUGUCCCCAGGUACCCCCAAGCCCUGUCCCUCAUUGGGGCUGCAGGUGCAUCAGGCAAAGCCAGAGGCUCUUGGGCUUUUCCAAAUAUUUGCACCAGCAUCAUCCCCUCCAGAGGGGAGGUGACAAACUGGGAGAAAACAGCUGACACCUGCCAAGCUUGUGUCAGCGCAGGAGCUGAACCCUCACCCUCUGCAGCCCCACAACCCAGCCAAGGGGGCAUAGAAGGGUUUAUUCAGACAUGGGAUGGUUUUGUGGGACCCUGGCAUCACAGAUGGUCCCAUCCCUGCCCCCUGCAUGGCCCCAGCCCUGCCAGGACCCUGCACAGGGCAGGGUCUGUCCUGUGGUUGCCUCUUCCCGCAGCUCUGGGGGCACAGGGCCAGCUGGCGGCACGGCUCCACAGCCCUCACCCCACGGAAAGUCAGGGGAUUUCCAGGCUCUGGGAAAAAACAGGAAGCGGCAGUGGGUGA